CUACGGGGUGCAGCAGUGGGGAAUAUUGCACAUUGGGCGCAAGCCUGAUGCAGCCAUGCCGCGUGUAUGAAGAAGGCCUUCGGGUUGUAAAGUACUUUCAGCGGGGAGGAAGGGAGUAAAGUUAAUACCUUUGCUCAUUGACGUUACCCGCAGAAGAAGCACCGGCUAACUCCGUGCCAGCAGCCGCGGUAAUACGGAGUGUGCAAGCGUUAAUCGGAAUUACUGGGCGUAAAGCGCACGCAGGCGGUUUGUUAAGUCAGAUGUGAAAUCCCCGGGCUCAACCUGGGAACUGCAUCUGAUACUGGCAAGCUUGAGUCUCGUAGAGGGGGGUAGAAUUCCAGGUGUAGCGGUGAAAUGCGUAGAGAUCUGGAGGAAUACCGGUGGCGAAGACGGCCCCCUGGACGAAGACUGACGCUCAGGUGCGAAAGCGUGGGGAGCAAACAGGAUUAGAUACCCCCGUAGUC
rnacentral:rRNA from 1 species